rnacentral:rRNA from 1 species
AUACUUAGUGGCAGACGGGUGAGUAACAUGUAGGUAUCUGCCCUUUGGCCUGGAAUAACACGAGGAAACUUGUGCUAAUACCGGAUAAGUCUUUACGGAGAAAGCUUUAUGCACCAUUGGAUGAGCCUGCACUUGAUUAGUUUGUUGGUGGGGUAAUGGCCUACCAAGACUGUGAUCAAUAGCUGAUUUGAGAGGAUGAUCAGCCACAUUGGGACUGAGACACGGCCCAAACUCCUACGGGAGGCAGCAGUGGGGAAUCUUGCACAAUGGAGGAAACUCUGAUGCAGCGAUGCCGCGUGAGUGAAGAAGGCCCUUGGGUUGUAAAGCUCUUUCGUCGGGGAAGAAAAUGACUGUACCCGAAUAAGAAGGUCCGGCUAACUUCGUGCCAGCAGCCGCGGUAAUACGAAGGGACCUAGCGUAGUUCGGAAUUACUGGGCUUAAAGAGUUCGUAGGUGGUUGAAAAAGUUAGUGGUGAAAUCCCAGAGCUUAACUCUGGAACUGCCAUUAAAACUUUUCAGCUAGAGUAUGAUAGAGGAAAGCAGAAUUUCUAGUGUAGAGGUGAAAUUCGUAGAUAUUAGAAAGAAUACCAAUUGCGAAGGCAGCUUUCUGGAUCAUUACUGACACUGAGGAACGAAAGCAUGGGUAGCGAAGAGGAUUAGAUACCCUCGUAGUCCAUGCCGUAAACGAUGUGUGUUAGACGUUGGAAAUUUAUUUUCAGUGUCGCAGGGAAACCGAUAAACACACCGCCUGGGGAGUACGACCGCAAGGUUAAAACUCAAAUGAAUUGACGGGGACCCGCACAAGUAGUGGAGCAUGUGGUUUAAUUCGAAGAUACGCGCA